AGAGCGAACGCUGGCGGCAGGCCUAAUACAUGCAAGUCGAACGGAUCCUUCGGGAUUAGUGGCGGACGGGUGAGUAACACGUGGGAACGUGCCCUUUGGUUCGGAACAACUCAGGGAAACUUGAGCUAAUACCGGAUGUGCCCUUCGGGGGAAAGAUUUAUCGCCAUUGGAGCGGCCCGCGUCUGAUUAGCUAGUUGGUGGGGUAAAGGCCCACCAAGGCUACGAUCAGUAGCUGGUCUGAGAGGAUGAUCAGCCACACUGGGACUGAGACACGGCCCAGACUCCUACGGGAGGCAGCAGUAGGGAAUCUUGCGCAAUGGGCGAAAGCCUGACGCAGCCAUGCCGCGUGAAUGAUGAAGGUCUUAGGAUUGUAAAAUUCUUUCAGCGGGGACGAUAAUGACGGUACCCGCAGAAGAACGCCCCGGCUAACUUCGUGCCAGCAGCCGC
rnacentral:rRNA from 1 species